rnacentral:rRNA from 1 species
UGCAUAGCCCGAGUUGAGAGACUGAUCGGCCACAUUGGGGACUGAGACACGGGCCCAAACUCCUACGGGAGGCAGCAGUAGGGAAUCUUCCACAAUGGACGAAAGUACUGAUGGAGCAAACGCCGCGUGAGUGAAGAAGGUUUUCGGGUAUCGUAAAGACUCUGUUGUUGGUGAAGAAGGAUAGAGGUAGUAACUGGCCCUUUAUUUGACGGUAAUCAACCAGAAAGUCACGGGCUAACUACGUGCCAGCAGCCGCGGUAAAU